CCUACGGGGGUCAGCAGUGGGGAAUAUUGGGCAAUGGGCGCAAGCCUGACCCAGCAACGCCGCGUGAAGGAAGAAGGCUUUCGGGUUGUAAACUUCUUUUCUCAGGGACGAAGCAAGUGACGGUACCUGAGGAAUAAGCCACGGCUAACUACGUGCCAGCAGCCGCGGUAAUACGUAGGUGGCAAGCGUUAUCCGGAUUUACUGGGUGUAAAGGGCGUGUAGGCGGGAAAGCAAGUCAGAUGUGAAAACCAUGGGCUCAACCUGUGGCCUGCAUUUGAAACUGUUUUUCUUGAGUACUGGGGAGGCAGACGGAAUUCCUAGUGUAGCGGUGAAAUGCGUAGAUAUUAGGAGGAACACCAGUGGCGAAGGCGGUCUGCUGGACAGCAACUGACGCUGAGGCGCGAAAGCGUGGGGAGCAAACAGGAUUAGAUACCCCAGUAGUC
rnacentral:rRNA from 1 species